UUGGCUUAGAAGCAGCCAUCAUUUAAAGAAAGCGUAAUAGCUCACUGGUCGAGUCGGCCUGCGCGGAAGAUGUAACGGGGCUAAACCAUGCACCGAAGCUGCGGCAGCGACACUAUGUGUUGUUGGGUAGGGGAGCGUUCUGUAAGCCUGCGAAGGUGUACUGUGAGGUAUGCUGGAGGUAUCAGAAGUGCGAAUGCUGACAUAAGUAACGAUAAAGCGGGUGAAAAGC
rnacentral:rRNA from 1 species